rfam:Xiphophorus maculatus strain JP 163 A Contig14657.1, whole genome shotgun sequence.
CCAACGGCCCUUUUAAGGGCCACUAGAUGGUUUAAACAAACACGCA